CAAAGUGUGCUCCGUGUGCAGCAACUGCUCCAGUCCAGUAAUGGAUGAGAAGUAAUCCGUAGCCUGGCCACAGAUCAUUCCGGCCAGCAUCAAUAGUGCCAGCAGUCCCGUAUUAACCCGCAUCUUAACUUCCAGAUAUACGCGUCUGCAGUGCGUCGCGUCUCGCAAUAAACUGAAGCCGGUGCCGCAGCUCGGACCGAACAUCCCCAUGAGAGAUCUGUGAAUAAAGCCAGUGACGACAGACAUUUUGGCACACGCGAUUAGGAGUUCGGAUACCCACGACCAGGUGCUAACUACAUGCUACAGUAUUUGCAUAACCAAUUGAUGUGUGCCUAUGUCUAACUGGAAGUCUAUGUCGAUGGCUAUGAAAAAUAGAUAUCGGCAUUAUGAGCCACUCUAAUGAAGAGCAUACGAGUUUCGUCGCGAUUAAGCAUGUUUUAUGGCUUUGCCAAAGCUGAUUUAGUGAUGCUUAUCAUUAGCUCGUUUUCGGCGUGGACCUGCCCCGAGUUCUAGUUCUCUCUACUCGCCACUGUCGCGGCAUAUUGUCGCCUUAUUCGAUGGCUUAUUAAUUCUGGCUAAUUAAGAACGCGUUGUUUGAUAUUUAAUAAUGCAGUCGCUGCUCUUGCUAUUGACGCGCUAGUGUUGGAAAGCGCCGCUCUGAUGACGACAACAACACAGAAUUGUACCCUGUAUUUGUUUGCAAAAUUUAUUGGCUAAGUUAUUCUUAGAAAUUGCUUUGUUAUGGUAAAUACUAUUAUUCAGAAAUUAAAAAUAAUAAAUAAAAAUACAUUUUAGCACAAAAAUUGUA